UACGUAGGGCGCAAGCGUUGUCCGGAAUUAUUGGGCGUAAAGAGCUCGUAGGCGGCUUGUCACGUCGGAUGUGAAAGCCCGGGGCUUAACUCCGGGUCUGCAUUCGAUACGGGCUGGCUAGAGUGUGGUAGGGGAGAUCGGAAUUCCUGGUGUAGCGGUGAAAUGCGCAGAUAUCAGGAGGAACACCGGUGGCGAAGGCGGAUCUCUGGGCCAUUACUGACGCUGAGGAGCGAAAGCGUGUGGAGCGAACAGG
rnacentral:rRNA from 1 species